GACGAACGCUGGCGGCGUGCUUAACACAUGCAAGUCGAACGAUGAAGAAAAGAUUCGAAGCUUCGGCAGAAAUUCAUGUCGGAUUAGUGGCAGACGGGUGAGUAACUCGUGAGCAACCUACCUCUGACAAAGGGAUAGCCUCGGGAAACCGGGAUUAAUACCAUAUAACAUUUCGACGAAGCAUUUCGAUGCAAUCAAAGCUACGGCGGUAAGAGAUGGGCUGGCGUCCCAUUAACCGGAUGGUGAGGUAACGGCUCACCAUAGUGACGAUGGGUAACCGGGGUGAGAGGGUGAACGGUGACACUGGAACUGAGACGCGGUCCAGACUCCUACGGGAGGCAGCAGUGGGGAAUAUUGCACAAUGGAGGGAACUCUGAUGCAGCGACGCCGCGUGAGUGAUGAAGGAAUUCGUUACGCAAAACUCUGUUAUAUGGGAAGAAAAGGACUGUACCAUAGGAGAAAGCUCCGGCUAAAUACGUG
rnacentral:rRNA from 1 species